rnacentral:misc_RNA from 1 species
GGCCUUCUACAAUUACUGAAACUCAAUAUGAUUCUUACUUUACUGAUAUCCAUCGUCCUGAUUCUCCGCCAAGUUCGAACAUUUCUCACCAGACCGCUAAUUCUCUAUCCGACAGCCCCGAUCAGAAGAUGGACUAUGAUGAGGAUGAGAUAAGGUUAAAGCUCCAAGAACUUGAGAGGUCUCUCUUAGACGACAAUGAUGAUUUUAUUGACCUUGACCCUGAC